rnacentral:piRNA from 1 species
UCGGAAUGGAGUAGCUGUCCAGACUGUUGU